UACGAAGGGAGCUAGCGUUGUUCGGAAUUACUGGGCGUAAAGGGCGUGUAGGCGGACUAUCAAGUUAGGGGUGAAAUCCCGGGGCUCAACCUCGGAACUGCCCUUAAUACUUAUAGUCUAGAGUCUGUGAGGGGAUAGUGGAAUACCUAGUGUAGAGGUGAAAUUCGUAGAUAUUAGGUGGAACACCAGUGGCGAAGGCGGCUCACUGGCUCGAUACUGACGCUGAGGUGCGAAAGUGUGGGGAGCAAACAGG
rnacentral:rRNA from 1 species